AUUGAACGCUGGCGGCAGGCUUAACACAUGCAAGUCGAGCGGAGAUGAGGUGCUUGCACCUUAUCUUAGCGGCGGACGGGUGAGUAAUGCUUAGGAAUCUGCCGAUUAGUGGGGGACAACAUUCCGAAAGGAAUGCUAAUACCGCAUACGUCCUACGGGAGAAAGCAGGGGAUCUUCGGACCUUGCGCUAAUAGAUGAGCCUAAGUCGGAUUAGCUAGUUGGUGGGGUAAAGGCCUACCAAGGCGACGAUCUGUAGCGGGUCUGAGAGGAUGGUCCGCCACACUGGGACUGAGACACGGCCCAGACUCCUACGGGAGGCAGCAGUGGGGAAUAUUGGACAAUGGGGGAAACCCUGAUCUAGCCAUGCCGCGUGUGUGAAGAAGGCCUUAUGGUUGUAAAGCACUUUAAGCGAGGAGGAGGCUACUGAGACUAAUACUCUUGGAUAGUGGACGUUACUCGCAGAAUAAGCACCGGCUAACUCUGUGCCAGCAGCCGCCGUAAGAC
rnacentral:rRNA from 1 species